GAUGAACGCUGGCGGCGUGCCUAAUACAUGCAAGUCGAGCGAACAGACGAGGAGCUUGCUCCUCUGACGUUAGCGGCGGACGGGUGAGUAACACGUGGAUAACCUACCUAUAAGACUGGGAUAACUUCGGGAAACCGGAGCUAAUACCGGAUAAUAUAUUGAACCGCAUGGUUCAAUAGUGAAAGACGGUUUUGCUGUCACUUAUCGAUGGAUACGCGCCGCAUUAGCUAGUUGGUAAGGUAACGGCUUACCAAGGCAACGAUGCGUAGCCGACCUGAGAGGGUGGUCGGCCACACUGGAACUGAGACACGGUCCAGACUCCUACGGGAGGCAGCAGUAGGGAAUCUUCCGCAAUGGGCGAAAGCCUGACGGAGCAACGCCGCGUGAGUGAUGAAGGUCUUCGGAUCGUAAAACUCUGUUAUUAGGGAAGAACAAAUUUGUAAGUAACUGUGCACGUCUUGACGGUACCUAAUCAGAAAGCCACGGCUAACUACGUG
rnacentral:rRNA from 1 species